rnacentral:lncRNA from 1 species
GUCGGGCCACCCCACCAGAGCCACUCCUUUUCUCUCAGAGAUGGAGGCAUCAUCAGCCUGUGCAGGUGGCCCUAGGGUCAUAAUUCAAGACCAACUCAUACGUAAAAGGGCGACGGCUGGGGACUGCCUGAGUUUCCUGGAGGAGGCAGCCAUUCUGCCAAACUGAGAAGUGUGAAGCGGGAGAGGCAGGGAGCCCCGGGCUCCUGGAUAAUGGGGACCCUGUUCUGCUCACUACAUGCCCCUGAGAUCCAGGUCUAGCGGGAAGCCUAGAAUUACUGCACAAAGGGGAUCGAGACAGAACUGGAAACACCUUUUUAAAUGGCUUGACACGUGGCUCUGCACAGUCCUGAUGGGGCACACACGUGAUCAACAAGGAAGAGGAUCCUUCUGGUUUCAGUCCUCACACAUAGGCCUGUUUUAUUUCCGGAAGGAUUAUGCAGGCAGCCCUGUCCUGCGGUGUUGACUUUCAG